UCACAAACUUAUGGUCCCCCACUUCAGUCGGUCACUCUCGACUAGCCAUUCUACACCAAUGCAGAUGAAGAAGAUAAGAUGAGAGGGAAUGAGACCUCCCAAUCAUCACAGAAUGAUGGCAGAUUUUGUCUUCCUGCGGGUCUAUUCUGUACAACCAGGCCACAAGAUAUUGGCGAGCCAAGGAGAGAUUCACGCACGCACGAUAACAGACGGUCCCAAAAAUACGUGCAGAAGCUGCACUAGGUGGGAACAACUAUGUAGCAGGCAUCUGAGAAGUCGUUUUCCUUCAGAACUGGACGGUCGAGAGACAAGGUUCGACACAUUGGCACAUUUCGUCAUUCGAUCUAUCCAGCUGAAUCUCACUACUGACAGCGCAAAUUGGAAAGGGUGAUGUGUUUAAUGAUGAAAUCUAUCAUCUGCUGCUAGUUUCUGUUUCCAUACCCAGCAAAUUAUUCAGAUCUCAGCUGGUUUGAUGAUAAGCAGUAAAGAGAAGAAGCAUUUGCAAUCUCUCUGAUGGGUAAUUUCAGUACCGAAUCCUGACAAAUUUUGAGCGCCCCAGCGAGCUCAGCUCACCUCUGCUUACUCUUUUGUUUUUAAUUGGAUUAUUUCAUCCGAAAUAUUGUGUAGAGAAACCAGUGGGAUGGUUUUCAUGUCGCCUGAGUGUGCAUAUGAGAGGUUGCAUGUAACCCCUGUUCCGCAUAGCGAGAACACCUAGACCUCCAUUUUCUCACAUAGAAAUGCACUUAAUGCCA